rnacentral:rRNA from 1 species
GAUGAACGCUGGCGGCGUGCCUAAUACAUGCAAGUCGAGCGAACGGACGAGAAGCUUGCUUUUCUGAUGUUAGCGGCGGACGGGAGAGUAACACGUGGAUAACCUACCUAUCAGAAUGGGAUAACUUCGGGAAACCGGAGCUAAUACCGGAUAAUAUUUUGAACCGCAUGGUUCAAGAGUGAAAGACGGUCUUGCUGUCACUUAUAGAUGGAUCCGCGCUGCAUUAGCUAGUUGGUAAGGUAACGGCUUACCAAGGCAGCGAUGGAUAGCCGACCUGAGAGGGAGGUCGGCCACCCUGGAAGUGAGACACGGUCCAGACUCCUACGGGAGGCAGCAGUCGGGAAUCUUCCGCGAUGGGCGAAAGGCGGACGGAGCAACGCCGCGUGAGUGAUGAAGGACUUCGGACCGUAAAACGAUGUUAGUAGGGAAGAACAAAUGUGUAAGUACCUGUGCAGAUCUUGACGGUACCUAAUCAGAAAGCCACGGCUAACUCCGUG